rnacentral:tRNA from 1 species
AGCUAUUUUGACAGAAAAAUGUAAUGGGUUUAGAAGUCAUGAAUAUAUAACUAGAUUUAUAUAAGUAGUA